rfam:Heligmosomoides polygyrus genome assembly, scaffold: HPBE_contig0010557
CCAACGGCCCUCUUUAGGGCCACAAAUUGCGACAAGUACGAAUCU